UAAGUGGCCAUAAAAAAAUGUGGCUUUCAUUUCAUCGGUUCUUAAACGCGCCACAAAUGCUCAGUUCAUCGUCAAGAUAAAGUGAGGGCCGAGCUGCUCAGUAAUGGCGUCCCUUCUCAGCCUAUCAACUCCGCCAUCCCCCAUUAAUCUGCGACGCAAGGUGAAUCUUCCCAAUUUCAGUUCUAUAUCUACAAACUCUUCAUUUAAAAAACAUGGGAAAAUUGAAAGGGUUGGUGGUUGUGGUUAUCAUGGAAGUUGCUUUACAACAAGAGCCAAGGGGGGCAUUGAGCAAGAUGUGCUUGAGAAGGAUAAAGAGCCAAUUGAAAUUGAUGUUGAGAAUGAUUAUGGAGCCGUUGGCGUUCACCAUGUUGGAGUACUCUGCGAGAAUCUUGAGAGAUCACUUCACUUUUAUCUAAAUAUUCUAGGUCUUCAAAUAAACGAAGCAAGGCCACACGAUAAGCUUCCUUAUAGAGGUGCUUGGUUGUGGGUGGGUGCUGAGAUGAUUCAUUUGAUGGAACUUCCAAACCCUGAUCCUUUAACUGGACGACCUGAACAUGGAGGCCGCGAUCGUCACACUUGUCUUGGAAUAAGGGAUGUAUCAAAGUUGAAAGCAAUUCUUGAUAAAGCUGGUAUUCCCUAUACGCUUAGCAAGUCAGGAAGGCCAGCAAUCUUUACAAGAGAUCCAGAUGCAAAUGCUUUAGAAUUUACUCAAGUGGAUGGCUGACUGAGUUCUUGUCAAAUAGACUCCUUUUAUGUUCUAUGAGCUUCCACUGCUUUAAACACCUCACGAUCUUCAAAUCACUGAAAAGGAAUAAAACUACUAUUCGGAUGUGGCCUCCCUUGUUGAUAAUGAUUUUGUUCAAAAAUUCAGUUAAAGUAGAAAGUAUCAUGAAGCACUUUAACGCUAUAGAAUCAGGCGACAAUGUUCACUUUUCAAAUUCAACAAAGUUAGAAAUAUCAAGUUUUCGAAGACUGAAAAGGGAACAAUAUGUUAAUGAAACAGAAAUGAUGAUGCAGUUGACUAUCUUCAUACAAACAUGUAGGAAAAGGAAAGGAGGAGCUGAUUGAGAUAGAGACUAAGCUUAGUAUUACGACUGGUGACAGAGAGAGAGAAAGCACACAGAAUAUCUAGCAUAAGCGGCCAUGCAAGAAAAUAACUAUGUGUGCUCCCUCUCUUCUGUCACCUUCCUUGAGAUUACCUUCCGUAUGUUGAGCAAAUUUUCCUUCAGCUAGUAAGUUAUACUGGAAAACGUGGAUAAGUUGCAACAGAAAUAGAGAUUUGGAUGGUUGAUCUGGUUUGAUAUAAAACAAUACUAAUUACUGAUAUUUGUAGGAAGGUUACUUCUGUUUCUUCUUAAAAAAACAUAAUUAAUAUCUGCUUUAAACUCUUAUUGGUCGCCCUAUCAUAAAGCUCUGAUUGGAAGUAAUUACACCACUUGGUUGGGGAGUGGGCACUAUUAGACGUCAAUGAACAAAAUUAUUCUUAGCCCA